rnacentral:rRNA from 1 species
UACGGGGGGGGCAAGCGUUGUCCGGAAUUACUGGGCGUAAAGGGCUCGUAGGCGGCCAACUAAGUCAAACGUGAAAUCCCUCGGCUUAACCGGGGAACUGCGUCUGAUACUGGAUGGCUUGAGUUUGGGAGAGGGAUGCGGAAUUCCAGGUGUAGCGGUGAAAUGCGUAGAUAUCUGGAGGAACACCGGUGGCGAAGGCGGCAUCCUGGACCAACACUGACGCUGAGGCGCGAAAGCCAGGGGAGCAAACGGG